UGCUGUAAAAGUGAGAGAAAAAGCAAGAGCUUCUCCAGCGAGUUGUUUCCCUGACUGCCUGGUAAAGAAACCGCAGCACGUGCAGUGCCAAUACCAGAAACGACUGCCGUUUGGAGUCACCCAAACUGAAGAAGGGGGUGUUCCAGGCUCUGAGAGGAAAGAAGAAGAAAAUUAAGUUCCUGCCUUCCUGAUUGGGCAAAGGGAAUCACCCCCAAGAUGUCCUUCUGCCUUCAGAGGAGAAGGACCCCUCUUGGCUCCAACCCAACAGCAGAGGACAGGAUGGGGCCCAGUUGCAUGCCAUGCCAAGCCUACUGGAGCACCCACCUCAGCAAUGGCCAGCAUGCAUCCAGCUGUUCUCCUGCCAGUUGGCCACCUGGCACAGCCAUCCCACAGAAGGGCAUGCAGUGAGGAGGAGAGACCUAAUGAAGGCCCAGAUGUUGUUUGGACCGCAUUUUCCAUGGGAGAAAAUACUUCUUAUCUGUCUCUUCAGCCAAAGACCUUGGCAGCCCGGGCCUUCCCACGUCCACGUUCUCAGCAUACGGAACUAUGGGGGGAGGCUGGGAACGAGGGGUUUGAUGUACUGCUGGUUUUGUUUUGUAUCUCAUUCUCAACAAUGCCUUGGUUCAGUCAAGUCUUCUUUAGGCCUUGAAAUAUGGACACUUG